UAAAAGGCACUGGUUGGAACAGCUGGGAGACUUGCAGGAGGUUUGGUGACAGGGGCCAUUGGCCUGUUUCAACACCAAACACAUGAAAAACAUCAGGAUACUACCAAACAAAGACUGAAGACGAUGUCACAGAGUAUGGAGAGGACAGCAAGGACUUCACAGUCCAACUGAUUCCAAUUACAAGUCCACCACAUGCUCCCUGCAUGCACUGAGGAGGUAAUCAACCUUCCUGAGCCUCUGUUGCUUCAUCUCUAGAAGAGUCUUUGUAAUACCUGCCAGUCUAGUAUGCAUCCCACCGAAUCACAACCUCCUAUCAUUGCCUUGUCAUCAAGUCUUUGAGGGAUUGUGGACCAGGGAUGGAAGGAGCGAAGGAGUGACAGACUCGUUGGUAAUACAGAAUGAAGACAAUGAAACUUUUUACCUAAAGUGAUCAGCAUAAUGUCCUCUACUGAGAUAAAGAACGUGUUUCCAAAUUGCCUCUGGCAGGACAGAUAUCUAUCUAAGCAGAAAAUGAAGGAUGCAAAGGCACAUUCACUCAUUAAACCUCCAGGUGUUUCCACAAAUUGGCAAAGGAAAUAGAAAUAAUGGACAUCACAUGCUUCUUGCAAUAGCCAGCAAUUAAUGGAAAGGGCUCUCACAGCCAUAGUUAACUCAGCGAUAAACUCAUAUCCUUCCCAUCUAACUCCAGGAGCAAAUUUCUGAGUAAACAAAUGAGUUAAUUUG